rnacentral:rRNA from 1 species
GGGUUGUGAGGUUAAGCGACUAAGCGUACACGGUGGAUGCCCUGGCAGUCAGAGGCGAUGAAGGGCGUGCUAAUCUGCGAUAAGCGCCGGUAAGGUGAUAUGAACCGUUAUAACCGGCGAUACCCGAAUGGGGAAACCCAGUGUGACUCGUCACACUAUCAUUAACUGAAUCCAUAGGUUAAUGAGGCGAACCGGGGGAACUGAAACAUCUAAGUACCCCGAGGAAAAGAAAUCAACCGAGAUUCCCCCAGUAGCGGCGAGCGAACGGGGAGGAGCCCAGAGCCUGAAUCAGCAUGUGUGUUAGUGGAAGCGUCUGGAAAGGCGCGCGAUACAGGGUGACAGCCCCGUACACAAAAGCGCAUGUGCUGUGAGCUCGAUGAGUAGGGCGGGACACGUGGUAUCCUGUCUGAAUAUGGGGGGACCAUCCUCCAAGGCUAAAUACUCCUGACUGACCGAUAGUGAACCAGUACCGUGAGGGAAAGGCGAAAAGAACCCCGGCGAGGGGAGUGAAAAAGAACCUGAAACCGUGUACGUACAAGCAGUGGGAGCACAGGUUUACCUGUGUGACUGCGUACCUUUUGUAUAAUGGGUCAGC